GACGAACGCUGGCGGCGUGCCUAAUACAUGCAAGUUGAGCGCUGAAGGUUGGUACUUGUACCAACUGGAUGAGCAGCGAACGGGUGAGUAACGCGUGGGGAAUCUGCCUUUGAGCGGGGGACAACAUUUGGAAACGAAUGCUAAUACCGCAUAAAAACUUUAAACACAAGUUUUAAGUUUGAAAGAUGCAAUUGCAUCACUCAAAGAUGAUCCCGCGUUGUAUUAGCUAGUUGGUGAGGUAAAGGCUCACCAAGGCGAUGAUACAUAGCCGACCUGAGAGGGUGAUCGGCCAAAUUGGGACUGAGACACGGCCCAAACUCCUACGGGAGGCAGCAGUAGGGAAUCUUCGGAAAUGGACGAAAGUCUGACCGAGCAACGCCGCGUGAGUGAAGAAGGGUUUCGGAUCGUAAAACUCUGUUGGUAGAGAAGAACGUUGGUGAGAGUGGAAAGCUCAUCAAGUGACGGUAACUACCCAGAAAGGGACGGCUAACUACGUG
rnacentral:rRNA from 1 species